AUGUUGACUUUGCAGAGGUUCGGAGCCAGCGCUGCUGGGCGGAGGCCGCGAGGGCUUCCAGGCGAGACCUUGUUUUUUGUGUCUGUCCCCACCUGGCAAGCCCCAUUGUUGGUGUCUCGGGAUGAGUGUGAGAGAUCAAGACAGAUGGAAAAUGGGGGGGCACCCCCAGACAGCAGGAGAGAGCUUGGCAGAGACCCCAAGAAAAGUACUGAGAGACAGACCAAGCCCCAGACACAAAGAAGCUGGCAGGCGAGGGAGCAGGAGGCACCCAAGCCAUUCAGAGAGGGGAACCCAGAAACAGGGUCAGGGAGGGGGAGCUGGAGAAAUAAAAUGAACAGAGAAGGAGAAAAAGACACAAAAUAUUCAGCACACACAGGGACAGACAGGUGGAAACAGAGACGGCAUGUCAGAGACGGGGCAAAGGAAGAGACAGAGCAGAAGGGAGACAGAGACGGAAGGGGAGACAGAGACAGAGGGAAACAGAGACAGAGGGAGACAGAGACAGAGGGAGACAGAGACAGAAGGGGAGACAGAGACAGAGGGAGACAGAGACAGAGGGAGACAGAGACAGAGGGAGACAGGGACAGAAGGGGAGACAGAGACAGAAGGAAACAGAGACAGAGGGAGACAGAGACAGAGGGAGACAGGGACAGAGGGAGACAGAGACAGAAGGGGAGACAGAGACAGAGGGAGACAGAGACAGAAGGGGAGACAGAGACAGAGGGAGACAGAGACAGAAGGGGAGACAGAGACAGAGGGAAACAGAGACAGAGGGAGACAGAAACAGAGGGAGACAGGGACAGAGGGAGACAGAGACAGAGGGAGACAGAGACAGAAGGGGAGACAGAGACAGAGAGAGACAGAGGGAGAGACAGAGCAGAGGGGGAGACAGAGACAGAGGGAGACAGAGACAGAGGGACACAGAGACGGAGGGAGACAGAGACAGAGGGAGAUGGGGGAGAGACAGGGAGAGAUGGGGGCAGAGGGAGUGACAGAGAUAGAGAGACAGAGACAAAGGAAGAGGGCAGGGAGAGACAGAGGCAGAGACAGAGAGAGACAGAGAGAUAG
rnacentral:lncRNA from 13 species